rnacentral:lncRNA from 1 species
UUUUUUUCGACAUGUAUGACGCGAUCCAUUGACCUAUUCUUUUUUUUUUUAAUCAUUUAACUUUCCAAAUUCAGAAUCUAUUUUUCCGCAAGACAUAUUGAGAUUUGUACCAUCCACAAUAAGUAACGAAAUAAGAUUCUAGGUUUUGUAAUCGACGGACAGCUCAUGAGUCAAGAAGCUUACCACUUAGAUGAGAUCAUAUAUAUAUAUAUGCAUUCGUU